AAUGAACGCUGGCGGCAGGCUUAACACAUGCAAGUCGAACGGAACCUUCGGGAUUAGUUGCGGACGGGUGAGUAACGCGUGGGAACAUACACUUUGGUACGGAAUAGCUGCCGGAAACUGGAGUAAUACCGUCUGUAGCUGAGAGACGAUAGGUUUAUCGCGAAAGGAUUGGCGCGCGUUGGAUUAGGUAGUUGGUGGGGUAAUGGCCGACCAAGCCGACGAUCAAUAGCUGGUUUGAGAGGAUGAACAACCACAUUGGGACUGAGACACGGACCAGACUCGUACGGGAGGCAGGAGUGUGUGAUCUUAAACAAUGAAGGAAACCCUAGUCUAGCCAUGCCACGGGUUCGAUGAUGGCCUUAGGGUUGUAAAGAUCUUUCGGUUGAGAAGAUAAUGACUGUACCACCAGAAGAAGCCCCGGCUAACUCCGUGCCAGCAGCCGCAGUAACAC
rnacentral:rRNA from 1 species